GACGAACGCUGGCGGCGUGCUUAACACAUGCAAGUCGAACGGAAAGGCCUCUUUCGGGGGGUACUCGAGUGGCGAACGGGUGAGUAACACGUGAGUAACCUGCCCUUGACUUUGGGAUAACUUCAGGAAACUGGGGCUAAUACCGGAUAGGAGCUCCUGCUGCAUGGUGGGGGUUGGAAAGUUUCGGCGGUUGGGGAUGGACUCGCGGCUUAUCAGCUUGUUGGUGGGGUAGUGGCUUACCAAGGCUUUGACGGGUAGCCGGCCUGAGAGGGUGACCGGCCACAUUGGGACUGAGAUACGGCCCAGACUCCUACGGGAGGCUGCAGUGGGGAAUAUUGCACAAUGGGUGGAAGCCUGAUGCAGCAACGCCGUGUGCGGGAUGACGGCCUUCGGGUUGUAAACCGCUUUCGCCUGUGACGAAGCGUGAGUGACGGUAAUGGGUAAAGAAGCACCGGCUAACUACGUG
rnacentral:rRNA from 1 species